rnacentral:snoRNA from 1 species
AUCCCCUGGCUAUGGGCAAAGAGACACCUGAUUGGUGGUGGUGCUCUUAUAUCAGUCAGGAGCAGAGCAGACUUGCAGACCCUUUGUUCAUCCUAGCUUGAUGCCUAGAUCGUGGCCAGAGCUGUUUCAUGCCUAGGGCACACAC